UUCUCACAAAGUGAGCAUGCAUUUAACUACCACUCAUGUCAAGAAAUAAAACGAUGUCAGCACCUGAAAGCCCUCAUUAUGCUUUCUCCCAAUUACUGCCUAUGCUCCUCUCCGAAAGUAACCACUUUCCCGACUUAACCAUAGAUUUGUUUUGCGUAUUUUUGAUUUUUAUGUAAAUGGAAUAACACAGUAUGAUUCCUGUGUGUCUGACUUCUUUCACUUAAUGUCAUGUUUGGGAGACUCAGGUGUGUUAUAGCAUAUUAGCUGUGGUUUGUUCAUUUUCAUUGCUGUGUUGAACUUCAUUGUAGGAUUACAGUGUGGUUUAGCCAUCCUUCCACAGGCAUAUAUCUGGAUUCUCCUUGGUUUGAGGCUAUUAUGAAGAAUACUGCUUAUGAACAUUCUUGCCCACAGAUUUUGGUGCACAUGAAAUGCAUUUCCCUCUGGAAUAUUCAUAGGAAGAGACUUGCUAUGUCAUGAGUUUUCUAAAAACGUUGAGAUCUCCGUGCUGUUUGGGAUUCCAUUCUGGUAUGAGUCAGGAACUGAGGUUUAUGUGUUUUCCAAACAGCGAGCCGGUUUUCUUCACAAUUUAUUGAAUAAUUAAACUUGCCCGACUGGUUUGGAAUGCUACUUUCGUAAGAUACUAAAACUCUGUUAAGUAGCAGUGGGAGAGUGAGCACCCUGUCUGCUUCCUGAUUUUAAUGUUGUGCUUCUGUUUGGCGUGUGGGAGGACCUGAGUCAAGACCAGAGCCUCUUUGUUUUAUUUCUCAGCUUUGCAGAGAAAGUAAACGUUGGUAAGGCAGUUCUCCCCAGGGCCUAGUCACCUCCCUGGAGCUGUGCAGUAGGGUUUGAGGUCAAAGCCCCUUCAGCAAUAAAGUCUUCAUUGGCUUGCUUUGUUUACCAAGCACGUCUCUCUCUUUUAGAGUCUCUGUAGAGAUGGACGAUGUGAACAGAGUAGCUGCCCGAGACAGGAUUUGGGCCUCCUGGUCUCCUAGCCAAGCUUUUCCCUUCCUGUUAUGUCAUUUCCAAUGAUACAUUUUCACUUAUUAACUAUAACUCAUUUACCAUUUGACAUUUGUGCCUUAUGUAUACGUUUAUUCAAGUGGUCUGUUUGUCCAACUAUACUUUAAGCUUUUAAAGUUCUGGA